UCACUCCAGGCAGUUUAGCAGUUCGGAAUAGUUGGAGCCCUUCUGAAUGUCCGUUGAGCUCAAAUUUGACAGGCAGGCUCAAUUUAACGUACUGAGUAAGAAUAUAUCUUAAGUUUUCAGUUUCGACCCCAUUUGGUCACCGAAAACUGUACCGAACUGUAAUCUUUAUUAGAUAGCUGUCGGAUUUUAUUCCUCACUUUACGGGUGUCAGAAAAAUAUUAAACUUUAAAUCUAGCCUCAUAAAAAUAUUUCUGACUUAUCCUCCAAUUUUCAUAAUUUUCUGAGACUGUGCAUUUUCUGCUAAUUU
rnacentral:lncRNA from 1 species